AUUGAACGCUGGCGGCAGGCCUAACACAUGCAAGUCGAACGGUAACAGGAAGCAGCUUGCUGCUUUGCUGACGAGUGGCGGACGGGUGAGUAAUGUCUGGGAAACUGCCUGAUGGAGGGGGAUAACUACUGGAAACGGUAGCUAAUACCGCAUAACGUCGCAAGACCAAAGAGGGGGACCUUCGGGCCUCUUGCCAUCGGAUGUGCCCAGAUGGGAUUAGCUAGUAGGUGGGGUAACGGCUCACCUAGGCGACGAUCCCUAGCUGGUCUGAGAGGAUGACCAGCCACACUGGAACUGAGACACGGUCCAGACUCCUACGGGAGGCAGCAGUGGGGAAUAUUGCACAAUGGGCGCAAGCCUGAUGCAGCCAUGCCGCGUGUAUGAAGAAGGCCUUCGGGUUGUAAAGUACUUUCAGCGGGGAGGAAGGGAGUAAAGUCAAUACCUUUGCUCAUUGACGUUACCCGCAGAAGAAGCACCGGCUAACUCCGUG
rnacentral:rRNA from 1 species